CCUACGGGUGGCAGCAGUGGGGAAUAUUGCACAAUGGGGGAAACCCUGAUGCAGCGACGCCGCGUGAGUGAAGAAGUAAUUCGUUAUGUAAAGCUCUAUCAGCAGGGAAGAAAAUGACGGUACCUGAGUAAGAAGCCCCGGCUAACUACGGUCCAGCAGCCGCGGUAAUACGUAGGGGGCCAGCGUUAUCCGGAUUUACUGGGUGGAAAGGGAGCGUAGACGGCAGUGCAAGUCUGGAGUGAAAGGCGGGGGCCCAACCACGGGACUGCUCUGGAAACUGUGCGGCUGGAGUGCAGGAGAGGCAAGUGGAAUUCCUGGUGUAGCGGUGAAAUGCGGAGAUAUUAGGAGGAACACCAGUGGCGAAGGCGGCUUACUGGACUGUAACUGACGUUGAGGCUCGAAAGCGUGGGGAGCAAACAGGAUUAGAUACCCCGGUAGUC
rnacentral:rRNA from 1 species